GGUAUAGUGGUGACCUUUGAGGACGUAGCUGUGUAUUUUACGGAGAAGGAGUGGACUCUGCUGGAUCCGGCCAAAGGGCUCUCCACAGGGACGUCAUGGAGGAGAAUUGGGCCAAUCUGGUCUCCCUAGCUACUGAUAUGGAAGGAAAGAAGAGUGAGAAAGAAAUAAAAAGCCACUCCCUGGGAACAGCCAUUAAUAAAAAGCAGAAACACGGCCCGAAAAGCACUAAUAACAAGAAGGGGAAAGAAACAAAUUGUCCAGUGGUCUCCACCGAGCAAGAACAGUAUGCAUCGGCUUUGAUUUAUCUGCUGGGCACUGACUUCAUUAACCGACAUGGCGAAGCAGGACAGUUCAUCUAUUAUCUGCGCCGAAAGCGUGCGGGAGCGAGGCAGACGUGGAUUCCUGGUUGGAUUCAUUACAAAUGCAAAAAGUUGAUCCUUUUCCGUUGCGCGGAGAGCCCAAAGAAGCCCAAAAACAAGUUGGAACAUUUUCAUCUGGGCAAUCUAGCCAAGAGACUCGCCAUUCACCAGAGAACGUGCGCCCCUCUGGAACUCUGCCCUUGCUUGGCUGACUUGCGACAAGUCCACCUGCACCAGAUCACCAACGACUGGGCACACCAGUACGAAUUCCCCCCAGAAACGUCAGGCUCGCAACCUGGAGCCAGCCAACCUUCCCGAGAACCAAGAGGGGAGCAGCAGGAAGCAGCACUGUAGGGACGGCAAGGGCAAGACGCUGGAUCCAGCACGCCCACCACUUCCCGUGACCAUAACCUGUACAGGACCCAUUUCAUUCCAAGAUGUGGGUGGGUCUCUUGGUUCACCUACCCUCCCCAAGGAAGGAGAAGAGGCUCUAGAUGAAGAACUAACUCUGGAUCUCCUUCUGAAUGACAGAGAAGCUGAUGAGCAGUUGCUGGAAGACAGGGUGGAUUUGAUUUAAAGCAAAUUAAUUUAAAUCAUAUUUAAAUCGCAAUUUAAAUUUUAAAAAUUGGAAUUUCUUUUCCAAUUAAAAUUGUAAUCAUCUUUUUUGAUUUAAAUCAUUAUUUUUGAUCAUUUAGAGUGGUGCCCCGCAUAACGAGCGCUUCGUUUAACGACAAAUCCGCAUAGCGAUGUUUUUUGCGACCGCAAAAGCAAUCGCAUAACGAUGUUUUAAAUGGGAAAACAUUGCUUUGCGAAACACUUACCGAUUAUCGCAUAACGAUAUUUUAAGAACAGCUGAUCGGCGGUUCCAAAAUGGCCACCGGGUAAAUAAAAUGGCCGCCUGCAGUGUUUUCGCGCCCUUU
rnacentral:lncRNA from 1 species